rnacentral:ribozyme from 1 species
ACUCGACUUCGCGAGUAUAAAUAGGCUUUAGGCGGAGAGCGGUAGGUAGACUAUUCUACCUACGUAGUG